CCUACGGGUGGCAGCAGUGGGGAAUAUUGGGCAAUGGAGGAAACUCUGACCCAGCAACGCCGCGUGAAUGAUGAAGGUCUUCGGAUUGUAAAGUUCUUUUCUAAGGGAAGUAGAAAGUUACGGUACCUUAGGAAUAAGCCUCGGCUAACUACGUGCCAGCAGCCGCGGUAAUACGGAGGAGGCAAGCGUUAUCCGGAAUGACUGGGGGUAAAGGGUGCGUAGGUGGUUUGACAAGUUGGUAGCGUAACUCCGAGGCUCAACCUCGGCACUACUACCAAAACUGUUGGACUUGAGUGCAGGAGAGGCGAAUGGAAUUCCUAGUGUAGCGGUGGAAUGCGUAGAUAUUAGGAAGAACACCAGUGGCGAAGGCGAUUUGCUGGACUGUAACUGACACUGAGGCACGAAAGCGUGGGGAGCAAACAGGAUUAGAUACCCCUGUAGUC
rnacentral:rRNA from 1 species